UAAAUUGUAUUCAAUAGUUUAUAUUUAGGGAAAACUUCAAAAAUCCCCUCUGUGGUUUCGUAGUUUCUCACUUUGCCCCUCUGUGGUUUAAAAUAUAUCAAUUUGCCCCCAUGUGGUUUCUUUUUUCUCUUAUUCUUAUCAAUUUCAUUAUUUUUUUUUAAAAUCAGUGAUAAAGUUAAAAUUAAAGGAUACUAAAGUGAAUAUUUGAUAAAUCUAGAUGGGUAUCUGAAGUUUUUUUUGUAUAUAAUUUAAUGAAAUAUUAACGAAAAAGCUACCAAAAAGAUAAAAACGAAACGACAGGGGAGCAAUUUGAUACAUUUUAAACCACAGGAGGGCAAAGUGAGAAACUACGAAACCACAGGGGGUUUUUUGAAGUUUUCCCUUAUAUUUACUCCAUCAAAUUUGUUCGGUUUUUUCUAUUGAAACUCUUAUUAAACUCCACAUUCAUUCCAAACUUAAAAGUUCAAGUUAUACUUUGUCUAGAUUUAUUAUUUUUAAAUUUAUUUAAUUUAUUCUAUUUAGGGCUGACGAUCUAGCUCGCUAUUCGGAAGAUAACUCUUGUUCGGUAGGAAAUGAGUGGGAGAUUGAUUUAAUAAUCGAAUCGAGUACAAACUGAAUUUUUCAGCUCAAAAUCUUAACGAGUCAAAUAUGAGCAAUCAAGUUAAAUUUUUCAACUCAAAUUUCAAUUAUUUGGCUCAAUUGACAUUCCUACUCUCUCUCUAUUACAAAUUUCAAUUAUUUGGAUUUUAGGCCAACCAAAAACCCACUAGCAAUAAUAACUCGUUGAGUCCAAAUCCACCGUCCUAAAAUACUUAAGUUUAAUUAUUACGUCAAGCCAUAACUAUUCCGAUGUGGGACUAUUGGGCCUAAUCAAGCUUAUAUACCCCCACAUCUAGUCCUAACUAUUCGAUGUGGGACUAUUGACAGAGCCCAAGAUCUUCUGAUCCUGACUAAGACAAGACCCAUCUUACACUUCUGACUGGUGAACCGACUCUGAUACCAAAUAUAACGAUCCAACCCGCUAGCAAUAAUAACUCGUUAAACCCAAAUCACCGGCCAAAAGUUAUUAUGUCUAGCCUAAUCAAGCUUAUAUACUCUCACAUCUAGUCAUAACUAUCUGAUGUGGGACAAUUGGGAUGUCACCGGCUGACAAUUUAAUUUUUUGUUCACAA
rnacentral:lncRNA from 1 species